GAUGAAGAACGUAGCGAAGUGCGAUAAGUAGUGUGAAUUGCAGAAUUUCGUGAAUCAUCGAAUCUUUGAACGCAAAUUGCACUCUCCGGUUUUCCGGGAGAGUAUGCCUGUUUGAGGGUCAGCCUAAAUGAAUUCGGCUUCGUUGCUGUAUUUUCACGGUAACGUUUUAGUCGGGAUUUGGGUCAUCUUAAACCGAAAGGUUAAGCGACUUAAAAUUUUUUUUUACGAUCCCACGAACGUUUCUAAGUACUUCUUACACGUUCAAGGUAUCGAAACCCCUAUUAGGCGUGGCCGUCGUAUCGGAUCGCGUCCAUAAUAUAUUAUUCUUUAACUGACCUCAGACAGGUAAGAAUACCCGCUGAACUUAAGCAUAUCAAUAAGCGGAGGA
rnacentral:misc_RNA from 1 species